UGGUGGUGGUGGUGGGUAGGGAUUUGCUACCAAAUCAUGUCUGCAUAUCCCUUCUUUUGCUCUCUUUAAUCACUUCCAAUCUUUAUAUAUAUAUAACUAAGUAAUAAUGCAUUAAGCAUAAGAAUUCCAAUUAUUGUCAAUUAUUUUUCAUGGCAUUGAGUCCAAGUUUAUGAUUGAGUUUCAAUAAUUAAUUAGCUUCAUAAGGUUGUCACUUUCCAAUUAUUUUAUUAUAUAUUUUGAAUCCAUUAAAU
rnacentral:lncRNA from 1 species